UACGUAGGGGGCAAGCGUUGUCCGGAUUUAUUGGGCGUAAAGAGCUCGUAGGCGGUCUGUUGCGUCCGCUGUGAAAACUCGGGGCUUAACCCCGAGCCUGCAGUGGAUACGGGCAGACUAGAGGUAGGUAGGGGAGAAUGGAAUUCCAGGUGUAGCGGUGAAAUGCGUAGAUAUCUGGAGGAACACCGGUGGCGAAGGCGGCAUCCUGGACCGGUAUUGACGCUGAGGCGCGAAAGUGUGGGGAGCGAACAGG
rnacentral:rRNA from 1 species